AUGUUUAUGCAAUACAUGCUAGCUAGCUUUUUUGGCAGUGCAGAUAGAGAUAGACCAUCGCGUGAAGAUGAUGCGGUAGUUAGUUAAAGCGUGCGGCGCGCGGCGGCGUACCUUGAGCCACCGCCUGACAGUGCUCCGGUAGCCGGUGGCGAAGACGAUGGCGUCGAAAGGGUGGCGGCUGCCGUCCCCGAACUCGACGACGUUCCCGCGGACGCUCUUGACGGCGGCGGGGAGCACCCGGAUCUCGCCGCUCCUGAUCUUGGCGUAGGUGCCGACGUCCACGACGGGGUAGCCCGGGGUGGUGAGCUUCAUGGUGAAGGGCCCGAUGGCGGGGCGGCGGAGGCCGUGCCGGGACGUGUCGCCGAACACCACGGCGCACAUGAGCAGCACCAGCUUGUCUAUGACCCACACGGGCAGGUACGGGUACAGCGUCAUCGCCACGUUCCAGAUCUCCUUGGUCACCAGGUGGAGCUGCAUAUAUGCGUGAUUAUUAGUUACUGCUGAUCGGAUUGCAUCGAUCGUUAGCAGUAGCGGCUGCGCAUCAUGAUUAAUUGAUGGAAAACUUGGCAUCCAUUCCAUUCCUGAUGGAAUCCUAUACUAUAUAACUUCAAACUGCAUUGUUCCCCAUUAAAGAUGGCAAUGUGCCUCCAUCCUCAAUUUCUGGUGGAGAAUUUCU